rnacentral:rRNA from 1 species
UCUGGGAUUAGAUACCCUGUUAUUUAAAAUGUAAUUUUAAAACUAAGGUAGUAUUAGUUAUGAUCUUGAAACUUAAAAAUUUUGGCGGUAUUUUAGUCUAUUCAGAGGAACCUGUUUUGUAAUCGAUAAUCCACGAUGGACCUUACUUAAAUUUGUAAUCAGUUUAUAUACCGUCGUUAUUAGAAUAUUUUAUUAGAAUGAUAAUAUUUAUAAUUUUUUAUAUAAAAAAAUAUCAGAUCAAGGUGUAGCUAAUAUUUAAGUAUAAAUGGGUUACAAUAAAAAUAUUUAAAUGAAUAUAAAUUUGAAAUGUUUAUUGAAGGUGGAUUUGAUAGUAAAUUUAUAAAGAUUAAUAAUUUGAUUAUAGCUCUAAAAUAUGCACAAAUCGCCCGUCACUCCUCUGA